rnacentral:tRNA from 1 species
GCACUGGUGAUUCAGCAGUAGAAUUCUCACCUUCCAUGCAGGAGACCCAGGUUCAAUUCCCAGCCAAUGCA